rnacentral:lncRNA from 1 species
CGAUAUUGAAGUUUUGGUUAGCAAAUUUUGAACCACAUCUUAUGAUUUUAUUCUUGUGUUUAUGACAUAUUUAGUCAUAGAUACCCCUAUACUAUAAGAAACAAUUUAAAUAUACUAUUCGUUGACUAGCAAUACAAAAUCUAAACACUUGUUGCAGCAAAUUAUAAACAGUGACCAUAUAACAAAAGAUUAGAAGAAAAGGAAUUGUGAAGAAGGAAC